rnacentral:rRNA from 1 species
UCUUAUCACCAUUCCAGAUUGAAUAUACCCGAUCUCGUUUGAUCUCGGAAGUCAUGCCAUCUCCGGCUUGGUUAGUACUUGGAUGGGUGACCGCUUGGGAAUACCAAGUGUGAUAAGCA